rnacentral:rRNA from 1 species
UAGAACGGGCCAACGAGUUACGUUAAGUAGCAAGGUUAAGCACUUAAGGUGCGGAGCCGUAGCGAAAGCGAGUUUUAGCUGAGCGUUCAGUUACUUGACGUAGACCCGAAAUCCGGCGCCCUACCCAGGAGCAGGAUGAAGAGAACGUAAAAUUUCGUGGAGGUCCGAACCCACGAGCGUUGAAAAGCUCGGGGAGGACUUGUGGGUAGCGGUGAAAUUCCAAUCGAGCCCGGAGAUAGCUGGUUCGCCCCGAAAUAGAUUUAGUGCUAGCCUCAAGGUGAGAGAUACGGAGGUAGAGCACUGAAUGUCCUCGGGUGUAUUGCACCUACCGAAGACAAUCCAACUCCGAAUGCCGUCAUCUUAUACUUUGGAGUCAGUCUGUGGGUGAUAAGAUUCAUAGUCGAAAGGGCAACAGCCCAGUUCGUCAUCUAAGGUCCCUAAAUGUAAGUUAAGUGUUAAAGGAUGUGGGAUUGCACAGACAACCAGGAUGUUGGCUUAGAAGCAGCCACUCAUUCAAAGAGUGCGUAAUAGCUCACUGGUCGAGUGAUCCUGCGCCGAAGAUUUCCGGGGCUAAA